UUUUCUCUUCGUUUCACUAUUCCUCUCUAGAACUUUCAUGGUAUCAAGAGCCUAGGCUGCGAUCGUGGUUGAUCUUCGUGCUUGAUCUACAAUCUUAGCUGGUGCUCAUCCUCCUCUUCCUCUUGUAUCGAAGCUCUUGUACUUCAUGAGGAUGAUUAGAAUGAUGUGUGAAGUUCAUUUUCAUGCCUGAAGUGGAAAAACUGUUCAUAAUACUCACUGCAAUGAUGCUCAUAUACUGAUUUCUCUCAAGAGUACUGUUCAUCUACAUCCUAUUGCUGUUUGAAGAUACUGUAUGAGGUGUUGAUGUACUCUGCUGCAAUUAAUUCUCAGCAAAAUGAGAUUUUGAACCUAGCCAAAACUUCUUAAACUGUUAUGCUGAUGUGUUCUGCAAUUGUGAUUUGCUCAUACUGACCUGUGAUCUCAUGCACAUAGUGGAAACAUGACUACUUCACGCGCUCCUCAAUUUGCUUCAUCUGCCACAACUCAGACUACCGUGUACUUGCCUAACAUCUUACUUGAUGAGACCGAUUACCCUACAUGGCUGUUCAGAAUGGAGUCCUUCCUUAGAGGUCAAAAUCUUUUUGGAUUUGUGGAUGGUACAACUCCUUGUCCUCCACAGUUCACUCAAUCCUCUGAUGGCACUACUUCUGUUCCCAAUGCUGAGUACAUUGCCUGGAAAACACAAGAUCAAAGUAUAGUGAACAUGAUGGGCCAAACAUUGAGCACUGUGGCUAUGGUCUGUGCUGUGGGAAGCAAGUCUGCUCAAGAUAUGUGGUCUAGACUCAAGCUGAAAUUUGCAGCUCCAAAUAGACAAAACAUCCUCCAGCCAGUGUUCUAAAAAUCAGUCUGGGCGGCCACCUAGGAGGCGUCUAGGCUCUAGGCGCAGACUGACCGCCCCGAUUUUGGGCUAGGCGACAAGGGAAAACGGCUUGGCUUUCGACGUGCGCCUAGACGGAGAAGGCGGGCGUUUCGGCGUUCUAGGUGGUGAACUGGGCGCUAGGCGGUGCAUAUCUGUUCACUUUCUCUCUCUUCUCCAGGCUCGACGACUCGACUUUCUCUCUCUAGUUUGUACUCUGAGUCCUCUUGACUCUCUCUGAUUUCUCCUAUGAGUCCUCUCACCAUCACUCUCUCUCUCCUCAACUCUGAUCCUUCAUUCUCUCUCUCCUCAACGACUUCGAUUUGUCCCUCACUCCCUCCAAACAUCAUCUUGAUUUAAUUUCAAUCAUAUAAUCAAACAUCCAUCACAAAACUUUCAAAAUCAAUACCUGGGAAACCUUGAAAUCAUUGAGAUGAAGAAAUUGUGGAAUCAUAUAAGGGUGUGGGGCGACAACUGUUCAGUUGGGGACUUGGGGUCGGAGGCGGAUGAUGAGAGGAGAAGGAGAAAAGAAGGCUGAGAUAGGUUUGAUAUGUUUUCCACUUUUUCCUUAAUUGUUCCAUGGGUUUGGUCACUGACCCAUUGUCUCUUCUAGCCCACUAGACUUUGUUUCUAUACUAUUUGUCAAAAAAGAAAUUGAAUAAAAAGAGGGCUAUGUUGAAUGAA